UACGGAGGGUGCGAGCGUUGUCCGGAAUCACUGGGCGUAAAGGGCGCGUAGGUGGCCCGUCAAGCGCGCGGUGAAAGCCCGGGGCUCAACCCCGGGUCGGCCGUGCGGACUGGCGGGCUCGAGCACUGUAGGGGCGGGUGGAAUUCCGGGUGUAGGGGUGGAAUGCGUAGAGAUCCGGAAGAACACCGGUGGCGAAGGCGGCCCGCUGGGCAGGAAGACGGGGCAACCCGUCGGCUGACACUGAGGCGCGACAGCGUGGGGAGCAAACAGG
rnacentral:rRNA from 1 species